rnacentral:rRNA from 1 species
UGGUGCAUGGCCGUCGUCAGUUCGUACUGUGAAGCAUCCUGUUAAGUCAGGCAACGAGCGAGACCCACGUCCACAGUUGCCAGCAUACCCUCCGGGGUGGAUGGGUACACUGUGGAGACCGCCGCUGCUAAAGCGGAGGAGGGAGUGGGCAACGGUAGGUCAGUAUGCCCCGAAUCUCCCGGGCUACACGCGGGCUACAAUGGUUGGUACAAUGGGCAUCUACCCCGAAAGGGGAAGGAAAUCUCUUAAAGCCAAUCGUAGUUCGGAUUGAGGGCUGCAACUCGCCCUCAUGAAGCUGGAAUCCGUAGUAAUCGCGUUUCAACAGAACGCGGUGAAUACGUCCCUGCUCCUU